GAAGGGAGGUGAGCCUGUGGCCGGCAGCCGCGCGAGGGAGUCGAGCCCGACCGGGCCAACCAAUGGGGAGGCGCCCGGGCCGUCCAGCCUGCCUCCCUGCGGGCCCAGCGCGGCGGAUUCCUCGGGAGGUGGGAGGCGGCGGCCCUAUGGAUGCUUUCAAAUCAGGAUGUGUGAGGCGCAUUCAGGAGCGGCGGUGGGAGGCGGCUGAGGGCUCUCCAUGAGUGAGCAAAGGCGAGCGAGGUCUGGCUGCUGGGACCGACGCCUGGGACACUCCCUUAACUGCCGUCGCGGGCGCCUGGAAAUGGCUGUGCGGACAACCCCUUCCCAUCCCCUCGCCAAGGUCGCCGGGAUGGCACUGCGGCCCAGGAAGCCUCGUCCCCGGCCUACCUCGCGCAACACCCUUUCGGUGGCACCGCCUGCUCUGGUCUGAAACAGCAGGCCCAGCGUCACCGACCUUCGGGAGGUGGGGGCUGAGCACACCACCCUGAAAAGAGGCAGCUUCCAGGAGGGUCUGGCAGGUCACAUGCCUCCCCUUUGGAGGGAACAGAGGGCACUGCUUGCAGCAGCCCCCACCUGCCCACCCAGAGCCCAGUAGUACCCCGUGGAGGAAAGGAGGCCUGGGGAGACAGGAGAGCUCGGGCCCACCCAGCCAAAGUAAGGAGGACCAGAGCCCCGAUGCCUGCCCCAGGGGCCUCCCGCAGAGCCUGCCCAUGAGUCUCUCCCAAGAUGUCUGGAUCUCCCUAGACAGCCUCCAAGGAGAGCAGUGUUAAUGGUUUGCCAUGUCCAUUGUCCAUGCAGGGAUGGAGAGCAGCAGCACCUGCCUGGUAGAACACACAGUGACACUCAGUCAUUGCUUAGGAGGCCUGCUCGUAAAAACCAAGCCUUGAUCUCACCACGACCAAGGCCAACCCCACUGCCAGCAACCCUGCCAGUGAUGGGGGACAGAGAGACUCCUGACUUCUGCUCCAAGAACCAAUGGAAGGUCAAGCAGCCCGGAGAUGAAGCCAGUAUGUCACAAAGGAAGAACCAAGACCAGUCUCAGAGACAGCAUCCUGGUUAAGUCCUGCCUAAAGCCCACCCUACCUGCAGACCGUUAUUCCAAGAGCUAAUAAACCCCAUUACUAUUUAAAAGAAAAACAAACGAACAAAAA